UGACUUAUUUUAGCUAAGGAACCAUGUAGCAGCACAGGUGUUCAGAGGACCGAUUUCAGGUGUGCACAUAAACUGAAGAGUUUUCAAACAAGACUUUCCCUGGGACAGCGGCGCUUUUCAGUUGAAGAUACACGAGAGGAGAGAAUGAAAAAAGACCAGCAAGGAGGAUGUAACAAAAUACACUGCAAGAACUGGAAUGAGAGACGUGAGGAUGAAGAGGACAACAGAAUAUCCAUCCUUUCUUCACCACCUCACAGAGUUUGAGUGAAACAACUUGUAUUAGGACUCACAGGAUUAUUUUAUACCAGAAGUAUGGUAUUUUUUUGAAGCUACUGUAUUAUUUCUUAUGACAAUUCAUUUUGAUGUGCAUUCAGAACUGUAAGUUGGUAAGUACAUUUACUGUAUUUACUGUAAGUAAAGGCUAAAGAGUAUAUCUCCUCUAGUUCUAAUUUCUAGUUCUAAGUUCUAACAACGUUCCCAAUAAUGUUAAGCCAACAUAAAAGUGUCCAGUUUUUAAAUUGUUUAGGAAUGUUUCUUGAUUGUGCGAAUGUUAGAGGAAUGUUACAUUUUAUUUUCAUACAAUGUCAUGUUUAAAUGUACUCACAAUGUUUAAAACACAUGUUUAGUAUAUUUUAUGAAUGUUUAUAUGCAAUAUUUUAAUAGAACAUUAAGAAAUAAUGUUUUACAACAGUUUGUAAAUAAGAGAAUGUAAUGUUUUUUAUCAUUACAAGCAAAAACAUUAAUAACGUUAUUGGGAACUUUGGAAACUUUCAAGGAACGUUCUUAGAACCUUUCUCUGUGGUUGAGCAUUGUGUUAGCAUCAUAAAACGCCAUGGGUUCAAACAAGGGAAUGCACAUGCUGAUAAAAAAUUUAUACUUUGCAUUGCACUGUAUGUUAUUUGCCUUUUUCUGUAAAUGUGAAGAUAAAUGUAAAGACAGACAGUCAUUGUUUCAUUUUAAACCAGUUCUAUUUUAAGAUAACUUAACUAGACUAAAUAAAAGGGUCAAACAUUUUUAAUUUUGCUAUUAUGAUGCUGAUUUUGUGGUGUUAUGGGUUUUCUGGUUACAGUGGUAGUGGAUCAUGAUCACCUCUCUAGCUUCAAAAGUAGGAUGCAAAAUGUAUAAUAACACCAAAUCAUUAUAGCAUAACUCCAUGUAACUUGACAUAAUUUAAAGUCGUCUAAAGGCAGACAUGAUUCCGUUUGAAGUCCUAUGCCAAAGACUCUCCAAAUACUGCAUCUACACAUUCAUCCUGAUGUGUAUAUUUUGUUGGUAUAUCCUGGUUGUUGCAGACCUGACAGUAAACUUGACUGUGAGCAUCCUAUCCAUCAGGUAUAGCUGUUUACUUGCAUUACUCAUUUAGAGAAAUGACGGGUCAAAAUUUAUUAUAUGGAUUAUAUUUUCAUCACCCCUUUUUGUCUUUGGGACACUUGAAAUAUAUAGCACGUAUAAUGUGGAGCCAUUUUAUAAUGCGGUCACAGACUACUCCCAUUGUAACUGGAAAACCAAAGAAAAUCAUUGUUUAAAUUAUAAAAUUAUAAUUUUUGGAUUAACUAAACCUGUAAUCAGUGUUAUACAUAUGUAUGUUUAUAAUUUGUGUUAUUUUAAAUGUAUUACUGCAAAUGAUUUGAAAUGUGUAUGUUUUAAAUGUAAUUUCACACAAAUUCUAAAAGUAUUUGUAUUGUUUUAAAUAAAGGCUUCAA